UACAGAGGUGGCAAGCGUUGUUCGGAAUUACUGGGCGUAAAGGGCGCGUAGGCGGCCCACUAAGUCAGACGUGAAAUCCCCCGGCUUAACCUGGGAACUGCGUCUGAUACUGGAGGGCUUGAGUAUGGGAGAGGGAUGUAGAAUUCCAGGUGUAGCGGCGAAAUGCGUAGAUAUCUGGAGGAAUACCGGUGGCGAAGGCGGCAUCCUGGACCAUUACUGACGCUGAGGCGCGAAAGCUAGGGGAGCAAACGGG
rnacentral:rRNA from 1 species